UACGUAGGGUGCAAGCGUUGUCCGGAAUUAUUGGGCGUAAAGAGCUCGUAGGCGGUUUGUCGCGUCUGCUGUGAAAACCCGAGGCUCAACCUCGGGCCUGCAGUGGGUACGGGCAGACUAGAGUGCGGUAGGGGAGAUUGGAAUUCCCGGUGUAGCGGUGAAAUGCGCAGAUAUCGGGAGGAACACCGGUGGCGAAGGCGGUUCUCUGGGCCUUACCUGACACUGAGGAGCGAAAGCGUGGGGAGCGAACAGG
rnacentral:rRNA from 1 species